GCCGGGGUGGUGGAAUGGUAGACACAAGGGCCUUAAGAGCCCUCGGCCCACAAAGCCGUAAGGGUUCGACUCCCUUCCCCGGCACCA
rnacentral:tRNA from 1 species